rnacentral:tRNA from 1 species
CCCUGGUUAGCUCAGUUGGUAAAGUGCGCCACCGGUAAUGGAGAGGUCCCGGGUUCAAUACCCGGACCAGGCG